UGAGUUUGUAACACCCAAAGCCGGUGAGAUAACCUUCGGGAGUCAGCCGUCUAAGGUGGGACAGAUGAUUAGGGUGAAGUCGUAACAAGGUAGCCGUAGGAGAACCUGCGGCUGGAUCACCUCCUUUCUAAGGAAUAUACGGAGGCUACACAUACUUGUUGAAACAAUGUUCAGUUUUGAGGGGCUUACCUCUCUAAACUUGUUCUUUGAAAACUAGAUAUUAUCAAUUAUUUUCCUUUAAUUAUUAAGAUAAUUAAACCGAGAAACAACUGCGUAUUUUUGAGUUUUUUAAUUAGUUUAUCGCUAAUACUCAAUUAAUUUGACGAUCACGAAGUGACCGUUAGGUUAAGUUAUGAAGGGCGCAUGGUGGAUGCCUUGGUACUAGGAGCCGAUGAAGGACGGGACUAACACCGAUAUGCUUCGGGGAGCUGUACGUAAGCUUUGAUCCGGAGAUUUCCGAAUGGGGAAACCCAAUCAUCUUUACCGAUGAUUACAACUUGAUGAAUACAUAGUCAAGUUGAGGCA
rnacentral:misc_RNA from 1 species